ACGGAGGGUGCAAGCGUUAUCCGGAAUCACUGGGUUUAAAGGGUGCGUAGGCGGUCUGAUAAGUCAGUCGUGAAAUCGCUGGGCUUAACUUUUGCAACUGCGAUUGAUACUGUUAGACUUGAAUGAGAUUGAGGCAGGCGGAAUGUGGCAUGUAGCGGUGAAAUGCUUAGAUAUGCCAUAGAACACCAAUUGCGAAGGCAGCCUGCUGGGCCUUUAUUGACGCUGAGGCACGAAAGCGUGGGGAGCAAACAGGAUUAGAUACCCUGGUAGUCCACGCCCUAAACGAUGUCUACUUGCUGUUCCUGGGCGACUGGGAGCGGCGUAGCGAAAGCGAUAAGUAAACCACCUGGGGAGUACGCCGGCAACGGUG
rnacentral:rRNA from 1 species